GGCGCUAUAGCCAAGUGGUUACGGCGACAGAUUAGAAUUAUCAGCAAUGAUUUGCGAUCUGUUCCUCUUUGAGGGCGCAGGUUCAAAUCCUGCUGGCGUCG